UACGUAGGGUGCAAGCGUUGUCCGGAAUUAUUGGGCGUAAAGAGCUCGUAGGCGGCUUGUCGCGUCGACUGUGAAAAACCCGCGGCUCAACUGCGGGGCUUGCAGCCGAUACGGGCAGGCUAGAGUUCGGUAGGGGAGACUGGAAUUCCUGGUGUAGCGGUGAAAUGCGCAGAUAUCAGGAGGAACACCGGUGGCGAAGGCGGAUCUCUGGGCCAUUACUGACGCUGAGGAGCGAAAGCGUGGGGAGCAAACAGG
rnacentral:rRNA from 1 species